AUGGCUGGGAUCACCACCAUUGAGGCAGUUAAGGGCAAUAUCCAGGUUCCGCAGCAGCAGGCAGAUGAUGCAGAGGGCCUCCAGUGAGAAGUUGAGGGGGAAAGGUGGGCCCGGGAACAGGCUGAGGUUGAGGUGGCUUCCUUGAACUGCAGGAUCCAGCUGGUUGAUGAGAAGCUGGACCAUGCUCAGGAGCACCUGGCCACUGCCCUGCAAAAGCUGGAAGAAGCGGAAAAAGCUGCUGCUAAGAGUGAGAGAGGUAUGAAAGUUAUUGAAAACCGGCCUUAAAAAAUGAAGAAAAGAUGGAACUCCAGGAAAUCCAACUCAAAGAAGCUAAGCACAUUGCAAAAGAGGCAGAUAGGAAGUAUAAAAAGGUGGCUCAUAAGUUGGUGAUCAUUGAAAGAGACUUGAAACACACAGAGGAACAAGCUGAGCUGGCAGAGUCCCGCUGCCGAGAGAUAGAUGAGCAUAUCAGACGGAGGGACCAGAACCUGAAGUGUCUGAGUGCUGCUGAAGAAAAGUACUCUCAAAAAGAAGACAAAUAUGAGAAAGAGAUCAAGAUUCUUACUGAUAAACUCAAGGAGGCAGAGACCUGUGCUGGGUUUGCUGAGAGAUCGGUAGCCAAGCUGGAAAAGACAAUUGAUGACUUGGAAGAUAAACUGAAAUGCACCAAAGAAGAGCACCUCUGUACACAAAGGAUGCUGGACCAGACUCUGCUUGACCUGAAUAACACGUAGAAUGCCCCAGUCCCACCCUGCUGCUGCUCCUCCCUCUGACCCUGACUCUUCCUGAGGCCAGCCUGCCUGAAGCUGACCUUUAACUGAGGGCUGAUCUUUAACUGGAAGGCUGCUUUCCCCUUUUGCCUCCUGCUCCUCCCCUGUGUCUUUUUUGCCAAACUGUCUCUACCAAUUCCCGGAGAUUCCAGCUGGACUAGAGGCUGAGCACCUUUGGAAACAACAUUUAAGGGAAUGUGAGCACAAUGCAUAAUGUCUUUAAAAG